rnacentral:rRNA from 1 species
GAUGAACGCUGGCGGCGUGCCUAACACAUGCAAGCCGAGCGAUUCUCUUCGGAGAAGAGCGGCGGACGGGUGAGUAACGCGUGGGUAACCUGCCCUGUACACACGGAUAACAUACCGCAAGGUAUGCUAAUACGAGAUAAUAUGCUUUUAUCGCAUGGUAGAAGUAUCAAAGCUUUUGCGGUACAGGAUGGACCCGCGUCUGAUUAGCUAGUUGGUAAGGUAACGGCUUACCAAGGCGACGAUCAGUAGCCGACCUGAGAGGGUGAUCGGCCACAUUGGAACUGAGACACGGUCCAAACUCCUACGGGAGGCAGCAGUGGGGAAUAUUGCACAAUGGGCGAAAGCCUGAUGCAGCAACGCCGCGUGAGCGAUGAAGGCCUUCGGGUCGUAAAGCUCUGUCCUCAAGGAAGAUAAUGACGGUACUUGAGGAGGAAGCCCCGGCUAACUACGUGCCAGCAGCCGCCGUAAAAC